rnacentral:rRNA from 1 species
UACGUAGGGGGCAAGCGUUGUCCGGAUUUAUUGGGCGUAAAGAGCGUGUAGGCGGCCAUGUAGGUCCGUUGUGAAAACUCGAGGCUCAACCUCGAGACGCCGAUGGAAACCAUGUGGCUAGAGUCCGGAAGAGGAGAGUGGAAGUUCCUGGUGUAGCGGUGAAAUGCGCAGAUAUCAGGAAGAACACCCGUGGCUAAGGCGGCUCUCUAGUACGGUACUGACGCUGAGACGCGAAAGCGUGGGGAGCGAACAGG